rnacentral:rRNA from 1 species
ACGCGUGGAACCUUACCAGGUCUUGACAUCCCACUGACCGCUAUGGAGACAUAGCUUUCCCUUCGGGGACAGUGGUGACAGGUGGUGCAUGGUUGUCGUCAGCUCGUGUCGUGAGAUGUUGGGUUAAGUCCCGCAACGAGCGCAACCCUUGUCCUUAGUUGCCAUCAUUAAGUUGGGCACUCUAAGGAGACUGCCGAUGACAAAUCGGAGAAAGGUGGGGAUGACGUCAAAUCAUCAUGCCCCUUAUGACCUGGGCUACACACGUGCUACAAUGGACGGUACAAACGGUUGCGAAGUCGCGAGAUGGAGCUAAUCUGAUAAAACCGUUCUCAGUUCGGAUUGUAGGCUGCAACUCGCCUACAUGAAGCUGGAAUCGCUAGUAAUCGCGGAUCAGCAUGCCGCGGUGAAUACGUUCCCGGGCCUUGCACUCACCGCCCGU